GUGAGAGUCAGGCCUGCUCACUCUGCGCCUCAGCUGUGGACCCCUUCCAGGCCCAAGUUUCAGCCUCGCAGACCGAGUCAGGACCUGGGCCUGCCUGCCGUGAGUCCCGUGAUAGAAAAAUGGUCACCAGCGACUGGCCUGAACGGUCUCCACAAGUCAGCUUGGCCACAGAGUUCUAAAGUGAUUUCCGUCAACCAAUAAACUGGAGAUGCUGGAUGAAAUAAAGCUCUCAGAGAGG
rnacentral:lncRNA from 1 species